rnacentral:lncRNA from 1 species
GGCGCUGGCGGUCGUCUGGUCUGUGGGUGCGGCCAGCCCUCUCCGGCGGGUGGGAAGCCGCGGCCUUUCCUGCCGGACGCUCCUUCCUCACCAGGAGGGUCUCCCAGCCCCCGGGCGAUGCUGCCCGGACCUGCUCGAUGCCCAGCAGCACCGCCCACCGCCCACCGCCCACCCCCCGGGCCGGCCGGUCCUGGCAGCGGCUGGUCUUUGUCCGGCUCUGGGCCGGCCCGCUGUGCGGUGGGGGCGGCAGAGGAAGCGCCGCGCGUCUCCAGCCGGCAUUCGAGCCCGGGGUGCGCAGCUCGGGGACCCCAGCAGCCGAGCGAGUCCUGGCUGUGGGGUCGGACGGCGGGGUGGCCCUGGGCCCCCGUUUUCUGCAUUCCCCUCUUCCCCCGCACCCCCGGCGCCCCGUCAUCAUCAUCGGGCAUUUCCCUGACGGCGGGUUCAAGCUGGCUGUACGUCGUGAUAGGAGCCCUGAGUCACAUCUCGCUACUAUUUUUUCCCCGCUUUGUCACUCGUCUCUCUGUGGUGUGGGGUUUGUGCUUGGUCACACGAUUCCAGGGUUUGUGUCAUCGGACUUUGCAGGCUUUUCCGAAGGGCUUCUGGGGUUUCUCCGGGGCUUGUUGGCCUGCCACUGACUUAGCGGGGCGCCGCCUCCUUCGAAAGUCACCGAGCGUUCGUUACCCGUUGCUGCAUCACACGUCUACCCCCAGGAGCCGCGCAGCGCGGCCGGCGCUCGAGGCACGGUGCCGGUCUGAUGACUUCACCUCCAAGUGACCCUCCCUCCCCUCGGCUGGAUCUUGAUGGGUCACACAGGCCCAAGCCGGGAGCAGUGCAGGAGGGCCCGGCCAAUGAGAAGGCUCCAGGGAGCAUCCUUGCUCCUGAACCUGGCGCGGGAGGGGCUCCUGGUCCGCGCAGGCCCCUCGGGAGCGGGACCCUGUCCUCUGUCUGCGCGGGGGUGGCAGGUUCCAGCCCCCGGGACCAAGACAGGCAGGGCGUGUCACCCUUAGAUGGUCGCGGACAGGACACACGAAAAGCCAGAGAAAGAACAUGUGACCGAGCCCCUGCCUGGCCCCCACGGCCCGAGGUGUGUGCCCCCUGCCCUCUGCCCUUGCGGAGGAGCUGGCAGCCCUGGUGGCACAUGGACGAUCCCGGGGCUGG